rnacentral:rRNA from 1 species
CCUACGGGCGGCUGCAGUGGGGAAUAUUGCACAAUGGGCGCAAGCCUGAUGCAGCCAUGCCGCGUGUGUGAAGAAGGCCUUCGGGUUGUAAAGCACUUUCAGCGGGGAGGAAGGCGUUAAGGUUAAUAACCUUGUCGAUUGACGUUACCCGCAGAAGAAGCACCGGCUAACUCCGUGCCAGCAGCCGCGGUAAUACGGAGGGUGCAAGCGUUAAUCGGAAUUACUGGGCGUAAAGCGCACGCAGGCGGUCUGUCAAGUCGGAUGUGAAAUCCCCGGGCUCAACCUGGGAACUGCAUUCGAAACUGGGAGGCUAGAGUCUUGUAGAGGGGGGUAGAAUUCCAGGUGUAGCGGUGAAAUGCGUAGAGAUCUGGAGGAAUACCGGUGGCGAAGGCGGCCCCCUGGACAAAGACUGACGCUCAGGUGCGAAAGCGUGGGGAGCAAACAGGAUUAGAUACCCCGGUAGUC